rnacentral:rRNA from 1 species
CACGUAGGGCGCAAGCGUUGUCCGGAAUUAUUGGGCGUAAAGAGCUCGUAGGCGGUCUGUUGCGUCGGCUGUGAAAACCCGGGGCUCAACCCCGGGCCUGCAGCCGAUACGGGCAGACUAGAGUUCGGCAGGGGAGACUGGAAUUCCUGGUGUAGCGGUGAAAUGCGCAGAUAUCAGGAGGAACACCGGUGGCGAAGGCGGGUCUCUGGGCAACAACUGACGCUGAGGAGCGAAAGCGUGGGGAGCGAACAGG